rnacentral:rRNA from 1 species
UCGAGAAUCUUCGGCAAUGGGCGCAAGCCUGACCGAGCGAUGCCGCGUGUGGGAUGAAGGCCUUCGGGUUGUAAACCACUGUCGAGGGGAAUUAAGGGAAACUUGAAAGAACCCUGGAGGAAGGACGGGCUAAGUUCGUGCCAGCAGCCGCGGUAAGACGAACCGUCCAAACGUUAUUCGGAAUCACUGGGCUUACAGAGUUCGUAGGCGGUCUGGUAAGUUAGAUGUGAAAUCCCUCAGCUCAACUGAGGAACUGCGUUUGAUACUGCCAGACUCGAGGGAGAUAGAGGAAAGCGGAACUGAUGGUGGAGCGGUGAAAUGCGUUGAUAUCAUCAGGAACACCGGUGGCGAAGGCGGCUUUCUGGGUCUCUUCUGACGCUGAGGAACGAAAGCUAGGGUA